rnacentral:rRNA from 1 species
UACGUAGGGGGCAAGCGUUGUCCGGAUUUAUUGGGCGUAAAGAGCGUGUAGGCGGCCAGACAGGUCUGUUGUGAAAACUCGAGGCUCAACCUCGAGAUGUCGAUGGAAACCGUCUGGCUAGAGUCCGGAAGAGGAGUGUGGAAUUCCUGGUGUAGCGGUGAAAUGCGCAAAUAUCAGGAAGAACACCUAUGGCGAAGGCAGCACUCUGGGACGGUACUGACGCUGAGACGCGAAAGCGUGGGGAGCGAACAGG